AUUUUUGCUUACCUGAUAAAAUAUGGUAGACUUUUUUUAACGAAGAAUAAAGUAGUAUAUGUGUGAGUAAUGAUAAUAGAGUAGUAAAUGUGUUUCUAAGGAAAUAACCUUGUACCAAUUUACCCCCAAAUCCAUCAACUUUAAGAACAAUUUGAUUUGUUUUUGAUACAUUUACAAAGUACCAUGCAUGUUUAUCCCUUUUUUGUAAUUUCUCUAUUGCAAUUUGAAGAAUGUAUCAGAAAAUUAGGAUAAAAUCAUCUGCAUGCAUAUGGAAUAAGUGGAAACCCACCCAAAAAAACUUAAUAGUACAAAUAAAUUAAUAGAUAUACAAAAGACAAAGCAAUAUAUAUAUAUAUAUAUAUAUAN
rnacentral:lncRNA from 1 species